AAAGCAGAGGUUGUGUGUAUCGACAUUGUGCGAAUUUGAUUCAAAUUGCACUCUGAUUGAAAGUAUUCUCUGCAAAAUCAAAAUCACUAGGCGAAGAUGGGCAGUUGUCUUUCAAUUUUUUAGUUGAUCUGUCAACAAUCAUCUUCCCCACACUU